rnacentral:rRNA from 1 species
GGGUGGAACCUGUGUGGCAUUAGGUUGUCGUGCAGGGGAUGCUCAUCGUUUACUGUGAAAAAAUUAGAGUGUUCAAAGCAGGCUUAUGCCGUUGAAUAUAUUAGCAUGGAAUAAUAAGAUAGGACCUUGGUACUAUUUUGUUGGUUUGCGCACCGAGGUAAUGAUUAACAGGGACAGUUGGGGGUAUUCGUAUUCCAUUGUCA